GAAUUUUCCGCAAUGGGCGAAAGCCUGACGGAGCAAUACCGCGUGAGGGAUGACGGCCUUGGGGUUGUAAACCUCUUUUAUCAAGGAGGAAGUUCUGACGUGUACUUGAUGAAUAAGCAUCGGCUAACUCCGUGCCAGCCACCGCGGUAAGACGGAGGAUGCAAGUGUUGUCCGGAAUCACUGGGCGUAAAGCGUCUGUAGGUGGUUUAAGAAGUCUGCUGUUAAAAGUUGAAGCUUAACUUCAAAGAUGCCGUAGAAACUUUUAAACUUGAGGAUGGUAGGGGUAGAGGGAAUUUCCAGUGGAGCGGUGAAAUGCGUAGAUCUUGGAAAGACCACCAAUGGCGAAGGCACUCUACUGGGCCAUUACUGACACUGAGAGACGAAAGCUAGGGGAGCAAAUGGG
rnacentral:rRNA from 1 species